UAUAUUUUAAUGUAUAUGAAGCAUAAUAAGUUUUGAAAUUAUUAGAAAAAGUUUAAAUCUUUUAAAUAUAG
rnacentral:tRNA from 1 species